rnacentral:tRNA from 1 species
CGAGGUGUAGCUCAGUGAGUAGAGUGCAUGGUUUGGGACCAUGAUGCCGAGAGUUCGAUUCUCUCCACCUCGACCA